GGCCCCGCACAAGCGGUGGAGCAUGUGGUUUAAUUCGAUGAUACGCGAGGAACCUUACCAGGGCUUAAAUGCAGAACGACCGGGGUGGAAACACCCCUUUCUUCGGACGGUCUGCAAGGUGCUGCAUGGUUGUCGUCAGCUCGUGCUGUGAAGUGUCGGGUUAAGUCCCAUAACGAGCGCAACCCCUAUUUCUAGUUGCCAGCGGUUCGGCCGGGGACUCUAGAGAAACUGCCAGCGUAAGCUGUGAGGAAGGUGGGGAUGACGUCAAAUCAUCACGGCCCUUACGUCCUGGGCUACACACGUGCUACAAUGGUGAGGACAGAGAGUUGCCAACCCGCGAGGGUGAGCU
rnacentral:rRNA from 1 species